rnacentral:rRNA from 1 species
GAUGAACGCUGGCGGCGUGCCUAAUACAUGCAAGUCGAGCGAACGGACGAGAAGCUUGCUUCUCUGAUGUUAGCGGCGGACGGGUGAGUAACACGUGGAUAACCUACCUAUAUGACUGGGAUAACUUCGGGAAACCGGAGCUAAUACCGGAUAAUAUUUUGAACCGCAUGGUUCAAAAGUGAAAGACGGUCUUGCUGUCACUUAUAGAUGGAUCCGCGCUGCAUUAGCUAGUUGGUAAGGUAACGGGUUACCAAGGCAACGAUGCAUAGCCGACCUGAGAGGGUGAUCGGCCACACGGGAGCUGAGCCACGGUCCAGACUCCUACGGGAGGCAGCAGUAGGGAACCGGCCGCAGAGGGCGAGAGCCUUACGGAGCGACGCCGCGUGAGUGAUGGAGAUCUUCGGAGCGUAAAACCGUGUUAUGAGUGAAAAACAUCUGUGUAAGUAACUGUGCAGAUCUUGACGGUACCGAAUCAGAAAGCCACGGCUAACUACGUG